rnacentral:rRNA from 1 species
UACGGGGGGGGCAAGCGUUGUUCGGAAUUACUGGGCGUAAAGGGCUCGUAGGCGGCCAACUAAGUCAGACGUGAAAUCCCUCGGCUUAACCGGGGAACUGCGUCUGAUACUGGAUGGCUUGAGUUCGGGAGAGGGAUGCGGAAUUCCAGGUGUAGCGGUGAAAUGCGUAGAUAUCUGGAGGAACACCGGUGGCGAAGGCGGCAUCCUGGACCGACAUUGACGCUGAGGCGCGAAAGCCAGGGGAGCAAACGGG